UACGGGGUGGGCUAGCGUUGUUCGGAAUUACUGGGCGUAAAGCGCACGUAGGCGGGAAGGAAAGUCAGGGGUGAAAUCCCGGGGCACAAUCCCGGAACUGCCUUUGAAACUUCCGUUCUUGAGGUCGAGAGAGGUGGGUGGAAUUCAGAGAGUAGAGGUGAAAUUCGUAGAUAUUCGGACGAACACCGGUGGCGAAGGCGGCGCACUGGCUCGAUACUGACGCUGAGGUGCGACAUCUCGGGGAGCAAACUGG
rnacentral:rRNA from 1 species